rnacentral:rRNA from 1 species
AGCGAACGCUGGCGGCAUGCUUAACACAUGCAAGUCGCACGAAGGUUUCGGCCUUAGUGGCGGACGGGUGAGUAACGCGUAGGAAUCUAUCCAUGGGUGGGGGAUAACACUGGGAAACUGGUGCUAAUACCGCAUGAUACCUGAGGGUCAAAGGCGCAAGUCGCCUGUGGAGGAGCCUGCGUUCGAUUAGCUAGUUGGUGGGGUAGAGGCCUACCAAGGCGAUGAUCGAUAGCUGGUUUGAGAGGAUGAUCAGCCACACUGGGACUGAGACACGGCCCAGGCUCCUACGGGAGGCAGCAGUGGGGAAUAUUGGACAAUGAGGGCAACCCUGAUCCAGCAAUGCCGCGUGUGUGAAGAAGGUCUUCGGAUUGUAAAGCACUUUCGACGGGGACGAUGAUGACGGUACCCGUAGAAGAAGCCCCGGCUAACUUCGUGCCAGCAGCCGCCGUAACAC